ensembl:lncRNA
AAUUUUUAACCCAAAAGUCGAGUUAGUCCAUAUUUGACCAAAAGUUGAGUUGAAACAACCCAGCAUUUUUUAGAAUGUAGGUCGAAAAGUCUUAAUUUACAUUGUAACUUUAAUUAAAUUACUCUAGCACAGUAGAUAUCAGUAAAGCAAUAGCACAAUAAACAAAAUAAAUAAUUCAUAUGUGGAUAAAUCUAAAGGUAAAACUGAUUUUAAAAGUAUUACACGUCCAAACACGGCCAGAAUGUGUGUGCAUUGAGAGGCACGUUUAAAUUCGGCAUCUUAACAUGAUGAAUCUGUCCGUCUAUACACAUAUGAGAAAUGGGGCUAAAACUAACACCUAAACACAGCCAGAAUGUAAUUGUCUACACAUAUAAAAGAAACAUGUUAAAAAUUGCUGCGUUGACAAAUUUCACGUGUCCCAUUUAAAGACUUUUGCCCCCAUCCACCUUCCAUACAUGAGUUCCUCCAGUAGUGGGCACUUGUGAAACGAAAACAAUGAAGUACAUCCGAGUCAAUGACAGGCUAGAAGUCAGCGAGGACAGUGCAUAAAAAGCUAUGUGGAAUUUUAGUGAACGUUUAUGAAAUUAUGAGAAAAGGGGAUUAUUGCUUUUCAGCAGCAACAAAUUAACGUGAUAUUAUUCACUACAGUGAACUCAACUCAAAUACACUGAACUGCAUGCAGUUACUUUAAGUGCUAAGUAAUUAAGGACUGUUGGAUUAUAAUGCGUUAUUAUGAUUUACAUUACCAGUUUUGCCAUUCCACACCGUGACCCACAGACAGCAGCCAUGUCUUCCGGAGCAGCCCCUACAGUAGAAUCUGAUGCUGACUUUUACUAUGACUAUGAGAAUCUGCGCAUUGGAGGCCUGAUCUUUGCUGGGGUCAUUGUGGUACUAUCGGUCCUCCUCCUGACAGGUAACCGCAUCAGACGGUGUGGCAAGCGUAAGUCGAAGCAUGUGGAUGAAGAAAUUUAAGAUGGCUCAUUUCUAUACUGGAUGGAUUUAAGAUGUGAACGGCCUGUAAAUUUGAAAAAAGUCAUAUUAUUAUAAACACUUACAUUUUUGAUUUAAUUGUUAAACAUUUCAUUAAAACAUUGA